rnacentral:rRNA from 1 species
AACGAACGCUGGCGGCAUGCCUAACACAUGCAAGUCGAACGAGACCUUCGGGUCUAGUGGCGCACGGGUGCGUAACGCGUGGGAACCUGCCCUUAGGUUCGGAAUAACUCCCCGAAAGGGGUGCUAAUACCGGAUAAUGUCUUCGGACCAAAGAUUUAUCGCCUUUGGAUGGGCCCGCGUUGGAUUAGCUAGUUGGUAGGGUAAAAGCCUACCAAGGCGACGAUCCAUAGCUGGUCUGAGAGGAUGGUCAGCCACACUGGGACUGAGACACGGCCCAGACUCCUACGGGAGGCAGCAGUGGGGAAUAUUGGACAAUGGGCGGAAGCCUGAUCCAGCAAUGCCGCGUGAGUGAUGAAGGCCUUAGAGUUGUAAAGCUCUUUUACCCGGGAUGAUAAUGACAGUACCGGGAGAAUAAGCGCCGGCUAACUCCGUG